GAAGCAAAAGGAGCUAUGUUGUUGGUCUGGGGCAAAGAAGACUGACUAGAAAGAAGAGGAAGAUCCUUGCUGGGGGCUGGACUGCUUGAAAAGCUCUCGGGCUGAAAGAGAGAAGAUACUAUUUACUUCUAAGGUAUGAUGGGCUCAGGCUUCUGCUACGGCUGCGGCUUCGCCUGCGGUAGUUUCGUGUUCCUGAUGAGAAACCCUGAUGCUCUCCACUCACACCAUGCAUCUUCUCAUCCUUUUCAUACCGCGGACGCUUUAUUUCUCGUCCCCUCUCCUCCGGCCUCAGUGGGUAGGGGGAUCUCCUGAGUUUGUCGCCAUCCCUGUCGGCUCGAGGCAGCUCCUCCCGACGGCCAUAGUGUGGACUGUACUCUGGCCGGUGCAGGACGUCUCGGCUGCGGUAGUCCUCGUCAUGCCUCGGAAGGAAGGGACUCGACGGCUGAUCCUCAUGAGCUGGGUACCUCUCAAGGCCGCGAGGACACGUGAGGCCUUUAGUGAAUAUUGGACCGUCAGCCACAUCAUCCCUGUGUGAGAGAAACACCCAGUGAUGUCCACUCCCAGCUACUGCAACCUCAAGAGAGGAUACAAGUGGUAUCCCAUUGGUAUUGUGACCAUCCCAAUUCCUUCACCAAUAAAGAACCCAAGAAUCACUGGAAUUUGCAGUUUCAGAGAUGGAAAACAGACCACAGGCUACACACACAUGAUGCCUCAGAGACCUACAACUAGUGUAAGUUGAUGAUAUUUGCAUCAAAAAUGGAAGUGGUAAUGGUUUUUCCUGUGCUGGAUGUUUAUCUCUGACCUAAAAGUGCAACUGUAUGCUCUGGGGCACAAGCUAUGCCAUCUUUAAUUUGCAAUUCAAGACAAAGAGAAUUAUUUGCAGUUUUCCAAUUUUCUUUCUUUCGCCAGAUUAUACUGGUUCUCCUACUGAAGGCAAAGAGUUCCUAAUUGUAUCUACUAAUAUUUACACUUCACUGUUCACAGCAGUGAAGUAUUUUAACACAAAAUAAUUCUCUCCAUUAACGCUUUCUCUCAAAUUUCAGUCAAGGGAUCCUAAGAAUUCUAACAUUUCCUUUAUAAUGUAUGAGACUGUCUGACUAUAUUCUUCUUCAAUGUUUUUAAAGUCAAAAUAAUAAUAUCUUUCAAGGUGCUUUAGAGUUUCUUUCCAGACUAGUCUCAAAAAUCAGGAAAGUAGACAAUUUCUCCCAGUAAGUGAGGAAGUUGAAGCUUUACACUAUCCUUAUCCUAAACAACCUUCCUUUCAGUAAGGACGAGGUAGGUUCAUA